rnacentral:rRNA from 1 species
AUUGAACGCUGGCGGCAGGCCUAACACAUGCAAGUCGAGCGAGCGGCGGACGGGUGAGUAAUGUCUGGGAAACUGCCUGAUGGAGGGGGAUAACUACUGGAAACGGUAGCUAAUACCGCAUACCUUCCGAUGUGCCCAGAUGGGAUUAGCUUGUAGGUUGGGUAAUGGCUCACCUAGGCGACGAUCCCUAGCUGGUCUGAGAGGAUGACCAGCCCCACUGGAACGGAGCCACGGUCCAGACUCCUACGGGAGGCAGCAGUGGGGAAUAUUGCACAAUGGGCGCAAGCCGGAUGCAGCCAUGCCGCGUGUAUGAAGAAGGUCUGCGGGUUGUAAAGUACUUUCAGCGGGGAGGCGUGACCCGCAGAAUAAGCACCGGCUAACUCCGUGCCAGCCGCCGCGGUAAUUC